rnacentral:rRNA from 1 species
AGAGUUUGAUCAUGGCUCAGGACGAACGCUGGCGGCACGCUUAACACAUGCAAGUCGAACGAGAGAAGAGGAGCUUGCUUUUCUGAUCUAGUGGCGGACGGGUGAGUAACACGUGAGCAAUCUGCCUUUCAGAGGGGGAUACCGAUUAGAAACGAUCGUUAAUACCGCAUAACAUAAUUGAACCGCAUGAUUUGAUUAUCAAAGAUUUAUCGCUGAAAGAUGAGCUCGCGUCUGAUUAGCUAGUUGGUAAGGUAACGGCUUACUAAGGCGACGAUAAGUAGCCGGACUGAGAGGUUGAUCGGCCACAUUGGGACUGAGACACGGCCCAGACUCCUACGGGAGGCAGCAGUGGGGAAUAUUGCACAAUGGAGGAAACUCUGAUGCAGCGAUGCCGCGUGAGGGAAGAAGGUUUUAGGAUUGUAAACCUCUGUCUUCAGGGACGAAAAAAGACGGUACCUGAGGAGGAAGCUCCGGCUAACUACGUGCCAGCAGCCGCGGUAAUACGUAGGGAGCGAGCGUUGUCCGGAAUUACUGGGUGUAAAGGGAGCGUAGGCGGGAUCGCAAGUCAGAUGUGAAAACUAUGGGCUUAACCCAUAAACUGCAUUUGAAACUGCGGUUCUUGAGUGAAGUAGAGGUAAGCGGAAUUCCUAGUGUAGCGGUGAAAUGCGUAGAUAUUAGGAGGAACAUCAGUGGCGAAGGCGGCUUACUGGGCUUUAACUGACGCUGAGGCUCGAAAGCGUGGGGAGCAAACAGGAUUAGGUACCCUGGUAGUCCACGCCGUAAACGAUGAUUACUAGGUGUGGGGGGACUGACCCCUUCCGUGCCGCAGCAAACGCAAUAAGUAAUCCACCUGGGGAGUACGACCGCAAGGUUGAAACUCAAAGGAAUUGACGGGGGCCCGCACAAGCAGUGGAGUAUGUGGAUUAAUUCGAAGCAACGCGAAGAACCUUACCAGGUCUUGACAUCGUAUGCAUAGCUCAGAGAUGAGUGAAAUCUCUUCGGAGACAUAUAGACAGGUGGUGCAUGGUUGUCGUCAGCUCGUGUCGUGAGAUGUUGGGUUAAGUCCCGCAACGAGCGCAACCCUUACUGUUAGUUGCUACGCAAGAGCACUCUAGCAGGACUGCCGUUGACAAAACGGAGGAAGGUGGGGAUGACGUCAAAUCAUCAUGCCCCUUAUGACCUGGGCCUCACACGUACUACAAUGGCUGUCAACAGAGGGAAGCAAAGCCGCGAGGUGGAGCGAACCCCUAAAAGCAGUCUUAGUUCGGAUUGUAGGCUGCAACCCGCCUACAUGAAGUCGGAAUUGCUAGUAAUCGCAGAUCAGCAUGCUGCGGUGAAUACGUUCCCGGGCCUUGUACACACCGCCCGUCACGCCAUGGGAGUCGGUAACACCCGAAGCCUGUAGUCUAACCGCAAGGAGGACGCAGUCGAAGGUGGGAUUGAUGACUGGGGUGAAGUCGUAACAAGGUA